UGAACGCUGGCGGCGUGCCUAAUACAUGCAAGUCGAGCGAACAGACGAGGAGCUUGCUCCUCUGACGUUAGCGGCGGACGGGUGAGUAACACGUGGAUAACCUACCUAUAAGACUGGGAUAACUUCGGGAAACCGGAGCUAAUACCGGAUAAUAUAUUGAACCGCAUGGUUCAAUAGUGAAAGACGGUUUUGCUGUCACUUAUAGAUGGAUCCGCGCCGCAUUAGCUAGUUGGUAAGGUAACGGCUUACCAAGGCAACGAUGCGUAGCCGACCUGAGAGGGUGAUCGGCCACACUGGAACUGAGACACGGUCCAGACUCCUACGGGAGGCAGCAGUAGGGAAUCUUCCGCAAUGGGCGAAAGCCUGACGGAGCAACGCCGCGUGAGUGAUGAAGGUCUUCGGAUCGUAAAACUCUGUUAUUAGGGAAGAACAAAUGUGUAAGUAACUAUGCACGUCUUGACGGUACGUAAUCAGAAAGCCACGGCUAACUACGUG
rnacentral:rRNA from 1 species